UGGGGGAUCUCGUUGGGAUACGGCCGGGGGAGCUCUGUCUCCAGCUCACGGAUGUCCUCGUUGAGAUCCACAUUGCUCAGCUGCCCAGGGCGCAGGAAGGAGGAAGGAGUGAACUGCCGGGCGCCGCCCGCCGAGCCGGGCCCGGUGCCGUUGAGCAGCGGGGUGGUCUCCCCCGCACGCUCGUCCUCGUCGUCGCGGGGGUCGCGGCCGGACCACGACACCUUCUUGGCGACGUUGGCCAUGCGGGGCGGCUGAGGCGCGCGGCUCCGGCGGCCCCCGUCUCACCGGCCG
rnacentral:lncRNA from 1 species